GGUAAAAUGGCCGAAGAAGGUGAUAAAUUGUAAAUUUAUUUAUGGUCCCAUCCUUUUACUG
rnacentral:tRNA from 1 species